rnacentral:piRNA from 1 species
UGUGUUCACGCGCGCGCACUCGCAAGGC